CCUACGGGGGGCUGCAGUAACGAAUAUUCCGCAAUGGGCGCAAGCCUGACGGAGCAAUACCGCGUGUAGGAUGAAGCCCCUCGGGGUGUAAACUACUGUCAGGGGCUACCAACUCAAUGAGGAGCCCCAGAGGAAGAGACGGCUAACUCUGUGCCAGCAGCCGCGGUAAUACAGAGGUCUCAAGCGUUAAUCGGAAUCACUGGGCUUAAAGGGUGCGCAGGCGGAUCCGCAAGUGCUUUGUGAAAUCCCACCGCUCAACGGUGGAACAGCUUGGCAUACUGCGGAUCUUGAGCCCGACAGGGGUCGUCGGAACGCUAGGUGGAGCGGUGAAAUGCGUAGAUAUCUAGCGGAACGCCAAAGGUGAAGACAGACGACUGGGUCGGCGCUGACGCUCAGGCACGAAAGCGUGGGGAGCAAACGGGAUUAGAUACCCCGGUAGU
rnacentral:rRNA from 1 species